GUUAGGAAUAUUGGACAAUGGGCGAAAGCCUGAUCCAGCCAUGCCACGUGAACGAUGAAGGCCUUCGGGUUGUAAAGUUCUUUAGCCGAUGAUUAUAAUGACUGUAGUCGGAAAAUAAGCCCCGGCUAACUUCGUGCCAGCAGCCGCGGUAAUACGAAGGGGGCGAGCGUUAUUCGGAAUCACUGGGCGUAAAGCGUGCGUAGGCGGUUUUGUAAGUUAGGAGUGAAAGCCCAGGGCUCAACCUUGGAAUUGCUCUUAAAACUGCAAGGCUCGAAUCUCGGAGAGGAUAGCGGAAUUUCCAGUGUAGCAGUGAAAUGCGUAGAUAUUGGAAGGAACACCAGUGGCGUAAGCGGCUAUCUGGACGAGUAUUGACGCUGAGGCACGAAAGCGUGGGGAUCAAACAGGAUUAGAAACCCCAGUAGUCC
rnacentral:rRNA from 1 species